AAAUCUUUUUGGGAAUCGCCUGCCAAGUACCAGUAGACCGGGGGAGAGCUCGAGGAGUAGGGUUGGAGUCUUGGAGAGGCGUAGGGGUGCGUGCGGCGCUGGAGUUGUUGUUGUUGCUGGCUUCGCCUCGCCGGCUUACGUUUUCUUCCUCCUCCGCGGCGUGGCUGCCACUGCCAGUGGGUGUGGCCUGUGGGCGUCGAGUCAAGACAGUGUCGUCGUUUCAUCUCCGCGGUCAGGUUUGGUUUGUUGUCUAGUGCAGCGGUACUGUUCCUGUAGAUGUAGAGCAGCAGUUCGAGCCUUCGAGGGCGAGGGAGAUGGACUGGCCUGGUCGCUGUGCGCCCUGUGCGGGCUUCCGCCCCGAACUGGGGCGGGGGCGGGGGCGGGGGCGAGGUGUUCGUGGGUAAGGGUCGCGGGCGUUGUGCGGCUGGGAGGCGGCUACCGAGGCGACGGAAAUAAAGCAGUAGUAGACGAGAGAGCCACGAUUUAUAAAGCGGGUUUUGUGUGGGUGUGGCUCGCUGCUCGCCUCUCCUCCACUCCUCUCACUGCUCCUCCCACCUCGCGUUUGUUCGGCGGGCUCAGGUGGCUGCUUGCUGGCCUUGCUGCUGCUUCAGAUCCUUAUCCCCUCCGCUACAUCGAGGCCGUUCGGAGCUGUCCUUUCUGCUUCGGAUGGGAGUGGCGGAGCAGUGCAUGGAGGUGCGGGGCGCGGCGAAUCGGAGGUGAUCCCGGUCAUGGGGUAGAGUGGAGGGGGCGGAGUGUGUGUGGUAUGGAGCCGUCCCGUGGCGCCACUGGCGGCGCGCGGCGGUGGGGGGAGGCGGAGACCGAGGUUGAUGCGGCGGAGGAAGGGAGACGGGCGGAGGACGGCGGCGAGGUGAGCCUGCGGGAGUGGCUGGACCGGCCGGGCCGGGCGGUGGAGGCGGCGGAGUGCGUGCACGUGUUCAGGCAGGUGGCGGAGGCGGUGGCCGUCGCGCACGCACAGGGGGUGGCCGUGGGCAGCGCGCGGCCGUCGUGCUUCGUCGUGUCGCCGCCCUUCGCGCGCGUCGCCUUCAUCGAGUCCGCCUCCGGCUCCGACGCCUCGGGUUCGUGCUCUGGCUCCGACGCCUCCGAGGACGCCGACCCGGACGCCUCGCCUCCGCGGCGAGGGGACGGCGCCGGACGCGGCGAGGAGCGCGCGGGGAAGUCGUUCCCGCUCAAGAGCGUGCUGGCCAUGGAGCUCAACUGGUACACCAGUCCCGAGGAGGCGGACGACAGCGCCGCUACCUUCGCCUCUGACGUCUAUAGACUGGGUGUGCUCUUGUUCGAGCUGUUCUGCACAUUCGAAACAAUGGAGGACAAGAUGCGGGCAAUGGCGAAUCUGAGGCACCGGGUGUUGCCGCCACAGUUGCUGCUCAAAUGGCCCAAGGAAGCAUCUUUCUGCCAGUUGCUAAUGCACCCUGUGCCAGAAACCAGACCGAAGAUGAGUGAGGUGCUGCAGAGUGAAUUCCUUAAUCAGUCAAGGAAUAGCCUGGAAGAACGUGAAGCGGCACUUAGGUUACGCGAAGAGAUAGAAGAACAAGAAUUAUUGCUGGAUUUUCUUCAGCAGUUGCAGAAAAGAAAGCAAGAUAUGGCAGACAGUUUGCAGGACACUGUUGCUUUUCUCUCUUCUGACAUCAAUGAGGUACUCCACCAGCAGUCUGCACUUGGCCACUGUGUGAACUUCUCACCAGAUUUGGAUAAAGAGGUGUGCUCUGGAACUGUUGAAGAUCAGAGUGAUUGUGGAUCCAGGAAGCGUUUUAGACCUGAGCUGCAAGGCGUUGAUAUGGAGGAAAAUAAUCGUAGUGUGGAAGAAUGUUCAAGAACAGUGCCGUCCUCUGAGUUAAUCCAGGAAAAUGUUCUGUCAAAAAGCUCCAGGUUGAUGAAGAACUUAAAAAAACUUGAAACAGCUUAUUUUCUAACAAGGUCCAAGUUGGCGAAGCAAGUUGGCAACCAGAUAAAUAGUUGUAAUCGAGUUGUUAAGAGGACUACUGGUUCAGCUGUUGGGACAGAAGCAAGUUCAAUAGAUGAUUUUUCUUUGGAAAGGCAAUAUGGUAGAAGGCAAAGAGGUUGGGUGAACUCUUUUCUUGAGGGAUUGUGCAAGUACUUGUCAUUCAGUAAGUUGAAAGUUCGGGCAGAAUUGAAGCAUUGUGAUUCACUGAACUCAUCAAACUUAGUAUGCUCCGUAGGGUUUGACCGAGAUAGAGAGUUUUUUGCAACUGCUGGUGUAAAUAAGAAGAUAAAAGUGUUUGAGUAUAAUAUGAUUGUAAAUGAACACCGUGAUAUUCACUAUCCUGUGGUAGAGAUGUCUAAUAGAUCAAAACUGAGUUGUAUUUCCUGGAACAGUUAUAUGAAGAGCCAUAUAGCAUCUAGUGAUUUUGAGGGUAUAGUGCAGGUUUGGGAUGUUACUAGGAGUCAAGUUUUUGUUGAGAUGAGGGAGCAUGAGCGACGUGUGUGGUCGGUGGACUUCUCAAUUGUGGACCCAACAAAAUUGGUCAGUGGGAGUGAUGAUGGAUCUGUGAAGCUGUGGGAUAUGAAUCAGGCAAUUUUAUUCUUGCACCUACUGCUGGGAGUAUUGGCACUAUUAAAACAAGGGCAAAUGUGUGUUCUGUGCAAUUUCAACCUGAUACUGCUCGCUCCAUUGCCAUCGGCUCUGCAGACCACAAAAUUUACUGCUAUGAUCUACGUCACAUACGAGCUCCUUAUUGUACACUAGUUGGGCACACAAAGACUGUAAGCUAUGUUAAGUAUCUGGAUGCAUCGACAAUAGUAUCUGCAUCUACUGACAACUCAUUGAAGCUUUGGGACUUAUCGAUGAGUCCAGGAAGGAUAAUUGACAGUCCAGUUCAAACAUUUAAGGGGCAUACAAAUACAAAGAACUUCGUUGGCCUUUCCAUAUCUGACGGUUACAUUGCUACUGGCUCUGAAACAAAUGAGGUUUUUGUGUACCACAAAGAAUUUCCCAUGCCAGUGUUGGCCUAUAAAUUCAGCGUGACGGACCCUAUAUCAGGGCAGGAGAUUGAUGACCAGUCACAGUUCAUUUCAUGCGUCUGUUGGAGAGGGCAGUCUUCAACCCUACUUUCUGCAAACUCCAGCGGCAACAUUAAGAUCUUAGAAAUGGACUGAGGAUUGGAGUUGGGCAUCUGCUGAGUCUCAGCUAUAAAUGGACUGACUUCUUACCAAGUUGUGUGCGUGUGAAUUUGUGGCAACGGAGUUGCCAACGGUGCGUGGUGCAGAGUUGGGAGAGGUAGGAGUAGCUGUAACAGGUUUAGCAUGGUUUGAUAGGAUUAAACUAGCGUGGUAGCAAAAGUAGCAUAAAUAGGAAACAGAAUUGAGGUGUGGGGUAGUACUGCAAGGAAAGGUUUUGUACAUCAUUGGUUCGAGGUAUACUUGUACAGCCAAUCAAUCCAGUUUUUACCUAGCAGCACCAGGCUUUUGCUCGUCGUAGUGUUACUUGAAAGGCAAAAAGUAUAAAGUGGUCUACAUCUGUUGAAUCAGAUAACAGCAUUUGCCUCA